GACGAACGCUGGCGGCGUGCUUAACACAUGCAAGUCGAACGGAAAGGCCCUGCUUUUGUGGGGUGCUCGAGUGGCGAACGGGUGAGUAACACGUGAGUAACCUGCCCUUGACUUUGGGAUAACUUCAGGAAACUGGGGCUAAUACCGGAUAGGAGCUCCUGCUGCAUGGUGGGGGUUGGAAAGUUUCGGCGGUUGGGGAUGGACUCGCGGCUUAUCAGCUUGUUGGUGGGGUAGUGGCUUACCAAGGCUUUGACGGGUAGCCGGCCUGAGAGGGUGACCGGCCACAUUGGGACUGAGAUACGGCCCAGACUCCUACGGGAGGCGGCAGUGGGGAAUAUUGCACAAUGGGCGGAAGCCUGAUGCAGCAACGCCGCGUGCGGGAUGACGGCCUUCGGGUUGUAAACCGCGUUCGCCUGUGACGAAGCGUGAGUGACGGUAAUGGGUAAAGAAGCACCGGCUAACUACGUG
rnacentral:rRNA from 1 species